AGGAAAACGAGGCUGGCUGGUACUCCAGUACAGCGCAGUGUUGGGCUCCUCCUCCAUCGGUUCCAAGGAGGCCUAGGCGUGCGUGACAGACAAUCAACCGAAAACACGUCCAUGAUGAGAAACAUGCAGAGAAACAUGGAUUUGCUGCAAUGCAAUUACUGACUCGAGAAUCUAAAUGAUUCAGACAGCAAUGUGCAGAUCUCUACAACUCUUUGCAGGCUAGCAGCGUGCUUGUUGAUGAAAUUCUAUGCAGCGGGCAGGCAGCAAGGGGUCCAGUUAGAUACUCCUCCAUAAGACGUCAUUUUCAGAGCCACGACAUUGAUCCGUUCGUGGUCGCUACCCACUCCGACGGAGGCCAGGGAGCGUUUGGUUACUGGAUCUAUCCGCUGGGAGAUGGUAGCUCGGGAUAUCUUCAACCGGUUUGGAUGGCGGUCAUGUAAUAGGAUAGGCAAUUAGUUUACUUAUCUCUUUCUUGCCAGCUGGUUGUGGCGUCCUUUAUUAGGCUAGUUUUGUCUUCUAGCCUUUCUGGCUCCGUGUGAGCUACUUUUUACUUUUUUUUUGGAGACUUUGAGACCGUGUUGGAACCUAUUUAUUUGCUUUAAUAAGAUGGCUAUAUGCAUCGUUCUGAUGCAGAGGCCGGGGAAUCCCCCCUUUUCGAAAAAAAAUUUAGGCACCAUGAUAGUUUGACUAAAGAUAGGGAGGUUGCUCCUGCUGGACUAUAAUAAUUAAAUAAGGAUCCCAACUACAGUAGCUUGCAACUGAAAGUCUGCACAUGAAAAACCUUAAUGGCAGUUGUACUUUUUAUGAAGUUUAUUAAAACCUAGUGUUGAUGAUUAUUGUAUGUUAAAACAGGUUCUUGUAUGGUGCACUGAAUCUAGAGACCGUAGAAAGUUUCAUUACAUUUGCUUGUAAUUGUAGUUGCAGCUUCUAUUGAAGACGAAACAGUGCCAGAAUCUGACAAGAGCCUCGUUCGAAAACGAAGAAUCUGACAAGGCAAAGAAAAAUUACAAGUUUGCCGGGAAUGGAAAGGGAAAGCAAAACAGAGACAGAGACUGAAUUGAACAUCACAUGCAGUUGUUGUAUCGCCAAUAAAAGGCUUAAGAAGAUCCAUUUGCAAGACUGUACCCAAACUGAAAGUGUCCAGAAAGGACUAGAGUAACAGAGUGUUGACGUAUAAAUGUAUUGCCUAGUCUCUUCUAUUAGAUCGGUUUUUUGGUUGCAUUGGCUAGAGCAUGCACUUCUACACAGAGUUCUUGGCGUAUUAUUCUUUAUCACACGAUGUUUUUCUUCUAUGGAUAAAAAGUCGCUCAGAUCUGUAAGAAAAAUUAUGGGGAUCUCAAUGUAUGAUCUCACGAAUAUAGCAUCGGCUAAGACAUAAUCAAGUCUCAGUCGAUUGAGAGUUAGCAAGACUGUUCGACAUCUGAGGAGGCGUGCGUGACAAUCAACCGAAAACACGUCAAAGAUGAGGUCAUGAUGAAUGUCAAGGGUUUUUACAUCCUUGGUUUAGUCAGUAGCCUCUCUUGGCGCUUUAUCACUUUCAGAUCCUCAAGCGAGUCAUUUCAUGUUAGAGAAACGUGCAUUUUUUUUUUCUGAACCAUGCAAAGAAACAUGGGUUUGCGGUGUAAACUGGGUUGAUCUAACUGAUUCAAACAGCAAGCAAAUCUAAAUGAUUCAGACAGCAAGCAAAUCUAAAUGAUUCAAACAACAACGUGCAAAUCAAUACAACUCUUUGCAGGCUAGCAGCACUGCAGAUUUGCUUGCAAGGGGUCCAGUUAGAUACUCCUCCGUGAGACAAGAUCCAAAUCUGAAUCCGAUAUUGAUUCUUUUAUCAGAUUUGCUUGCCCAUACAUGCACACACACACUACAGAUGAGUGUUUGAUCUGAAAAUGCAGUUCGAACAUGUUGUGUUUUCUGAAUCAGACUGACUGGUUUCUUGAGUUGCUUAACACACACAUCAUUAGUCCCAGUACUUGUUACAGACACUGAAGAAAACUAUAUAUUUAGUCAAACUGUCUGUUCUGUUCAAACUAGCACUGUUGGCUCAAGUCCAAGUGACCAUGAUUGAGUUUUCUACACAUCCAUGUUUCAGACACUCAUGUCCAUAUCCAUGAAAGCAAAGUCAAUUCUGAGUUCCCCAACAUCAGCUGUAUCUUACUAGCCUACUAUAUAUAUAAUAUGAGAUCACUAGUAAAGUAAAUUAUUGUAUGCUUAGAUGAAUUGAUAGAUCAACUUCAGUGAACCUGGACUGCUCAGGGAAAUGAUCUCAGAUGCACUGUUUCAGCUGUUCUCCUGAUAGCACAUAGCCAUAUACCAAUAGGAACAUCUUCAGGGUGCAUAAUUACCAAAGGGAACAAAAUAAAUAAAUAAAGAAGAGUGAUGCCCUUGUGCAGAGGAGAAUCCAAUGGCUGUCGCUAGAAAAGAAAUACUUAUGGCAGGAUGCCAGUUUCCAGCCUGGAUCGUGCAGAACUGUUGGAUAUACUUGAUCGAUAGUAGUUAGCAAAAUGUUGCCAUCAGCAUUAUAUUAGGCACCGUGAUAGUUUGACUAAAGAUAGGGAGGUUGCUCAUGCUGGACUAUUAUAAUUAGAUAAGGCUCCCAGCUAGCUAGCAACUGAAAGUCCGCGCAAGAAACCUUAACGGCAGGUGUACUUUUUAGGAACUUUAUUAAUAGUGGUGACGAUUCUUGCAUGUUGAAGUUCUUUAAUGGUGCAGUUAAUCUAGAGACUGUAGAAAGUUUCAGUACAUUUGCUUGUAAUUGUGCUUGCAGCUUCUGUCGAAAACGAAACACCUGAUGACAAGAACCCCAUUCAAAAAAGA